GGUGUGUUUUGGAAUAUUUUGAGGGUGUUUAAAGGUGUUGUGGUAGUUUAAAAUACAUUGUUAGUUUACUUUUUUUUUACUUUUUAUUUUCUUAUGCAUUAUUUUAUUUCUUAUUUAUAUUGUGGUGUGUUGUCGGUGUGUCCUAACCUAACCUAACCAGCCUACCCUCUCCUAACCUCCCCUCAACCCACAGGCACUGAUUGGCGUGACAUUCAGCAUAGGCUUCACCGUCGGGCACACUGUGGGGGCUGCGUUCUCCCGCUGGGGAAGUACUGGGUGGUUCGCGGCCUCGGCUGUCUACGCACGCACUCUCACUGUGGCUAACAUAAUAUUCUUUGCUGUCUUCUUCCAGGAAUUGCUGCCUGAGGGCAGAAGGAGGAGGGACAUCGGUGCCAGUUUGACCGAGGCUUGGGAGGUGAUCAAUCCUAGGGCUCUGUUCUCCGUCAGCUGUGUCAAGGGCCUGGGCAGAGAAGCCUGGAGUUAACGCUGAUCUUCGCGACCCACCACAAGCAUAGUUACGACUCGUUGGCGCAGGACCGCAAGUUUUCCCUCCUGGGCCUGGUCAUGGCAAUUACACAGAGAGGGUUUAUGCGAAGUGUUAAGACUGGAACUGAAAAAGCAACUGCCAAUUAGUGGUUAAUGACGAUGACUCCUGCUUUCAUCCUCAUCGGGGCUAGCAAGACCAACCUGGGGCUGUACUCUGGACUGACGCUGUAUGCCAUAGGUUCCUCUUUGAUGGUGCCCUGCCUCACUGCCCUCGCCUCCUGUCACAGCACGGCCUCUCACAAGGGUACCCUGUUUGGCAUUCGGAGGUCACCAGGGGCUGUUCCAAGGGCGUUCGGACCUGUUGUGACCAAUAGGUUUGUUUGUGUUGUUCGAGAGUGUUUAGCUGUGUUUUGUGUGUUUUUUGGUGUGUUUUGAGGUGUUUUGGGGGUGUUUUUGGGUGUUUUAAGGGUGUUUUGGGUGUAUUUUUGGGUGUUUUGGUAUGUUUGGCUGUGUUUUGUGUGUGUUUUUGGUGUGUUUUGAGGUGUUUUGGAUGUGUUUUGGGGUGUUUUUGGGUGUUUUGGGUGUAUUUUUGGGUGAUUUGGGUGUUUUGGUAUGUUUAGCUGUGUUUUUGGUGUGUUUUGGGGUGUUUUGGGUGUAUUUUAGAGUGUUUUGCUGUGUUUUGUGUGUGUUUUUGGUGUGUUUGGGGGGUGUUUUGGGAUGUUUUUGCGUGUGUUUUGUGUGUUUGGAAGUCUGAGGCUGUGUUUUUGGGUGUUUUGGGUGUAUUUUACGGUGUUUUAGGAUGUUUAGCUGUGUUUUGUGUGUGUUUUUAGUGUGUUUUGGGGUGUUUUGGAUGUGUUUGUGGGUGUUUUGGGUGUUUUGGUAUGUUUGGCUGUGUUUUGUGUGUGUUUUGGAUGUGUUUGGGUGUGUUUGAGGGUGUUUUGGGGGUGUUUGGAUGUGUAUGGAUAUAUUUAAGGGUGUUUUUUGGUGUGUUUGGGGGUGUAGAGGUGUGUUUGGGUGUGUGGGACAAUGUUUUGGGGGUGUUUGGGGGUGUAGAGGUGUGUGUUGGUGUGUUUGGGUGUAUUUUGUUGUGUUGUCUGUGUUGUUUGGGUCUCUCUCUCUCUCUCUCUCUCUCUCUCUCUGCAGGAUUCUGGGUAAUGUGGGCAGAAGUGUGCUAUAUUGUAGACAGCCUCUCCAUGCUGCUGCCGCUAGUGAUGCAGCAGGCCUACUGAGCUCCCUGCCACGCCCUCAGCCUGUUUAUAUUAGCCAGGUUAAGGAGGAAGGAUGUUGGGCUGAUGUUGGCCUAUUUAUGUGGUUUUUGGGCUAGUUUUGGGCGGUUUUUUGUCACGUGUUCCUUCUUUUGGGCUAGUUUUGGGCGGUUUUUUUUGUCGUGUUCCUUCUUUUGGGCUAUCAUUAUCUAUUUUUGUUCUUUUAUUUUUCAUGGUUCCAGUGACAGUUUAAGAGGCUGUGGUGGAAGUUAUUAGGGUUUUCAAGGGUGUUUUCAUGGUUCCAGUGACGGUUUAAGAGGCUGUGGUGGAAGUUAUUGCGGUUUUCAAGGGUGUUUUUAUGGUUCUAAAAUUUAACAUGCUGUAGUGGAAGUUAUUAGGGUUUUCAAGGGUGUUUUCAUGGUUCCAGUGAUAGUCUAAGAGGCUGUAGUGUGCAAACUCUCUUGUCAGGGUGUAAACUCACCUUACCUUAAUAAAAUGUUGAUUAAUA